UUGGUCAAGGAACUCGGCAUAAUGAUCCCGUAACUUCGGAAGAAGGGAUGCCAGAGAGGGUGUAGGGUACACCGAAGCUCUCCCUGGUCGCAGCGAAUCGGCCCAAGCGACUGUUUAGCAAAAACACAGGUGUGUGCCAAGCCGCACAAGGCGCCGUAUACACACUGACGCCUGCCCGGUGCCGGAAGGUUAAGGGGAGAGGUUGGCCGCAAGGCGAAGCUUUGAGCCGAAGCCCCGGUAAACGGCGGCCGUAACAAUAACGGUCCUAAGGUAGCAAAAUUCCUUGUCGGGUAAGUUCCGACCUGCACGAAUGGCGUAACGACUUGGGCACUGUCUCGACCACGUGCUCGGCGAAAUGGCAGUCUCGGUGAGGAUUCCGAGUCCCCGCGACAGGACAAAAAGACCCCAUGCACCUUUACUGUAGCUUGUCAUUGGUCGUUGCACAUCGCUGUGUAGCAUAGGUGGGAGGCGUUGAUCCGUGGGCGCUAGCUUACGGGGAGCCAUCAGUGAAAUACCACCCUGCGUCGUGCGACGCCCUCACCACGGCGGGAACACCCCGUCUGGGACCGUGGCAGGUGGGCAGUUUGACUGGGGCGGUCGCCUCCGAAGCAGUAACGGAGGCGCGCGCAAGGUUGGCUCAGCGCGGACGGUACUCGCGCUUCUAGAGUGUAACGGCAGAAGCCAGCCUGACGGUGAGAUCGACGGAUCGAGCCGCCACGAAAGUGGGCCGUAGUGAUCCGGUAGCCCGGGGUGGAGCGGCUAUCGCGCAACGGAUAAAAGGUACGCUGGGGAUAACAGGCUUAUCGCGCCCGAGAGUUCACAUCGACGGCGCGGUUUGGCACCUCGAUGUCGGCUUAUCACAUCCUGGGGCUGGAGAAGGUCCCAAGGGUCCGGCUGUUCGCCGGUUAAAGUGGUACAUGAGCUGGGUUCAGAACGUCGUGAGACAGUUCGGUCUGUAUCCGUCGUGGGCGUUGGAGAGUUGAGGGGAGCGGACUCUAGUACGAGAGGACCGAGUCGGACGACCCGCUCGUGUCCCGGUUGUCCUGCCAAGGGCACCGCCGGGUAGCGAUGGUCGGCUGUGAUAACCGCUGAAAGCAUCUAAGUGGGAAGCACGCCCCAAGAUGAACUCUCCCGAGGCCUUGAGCCUCUUGAAGGGCCGGGGAAGACCACCCCGUCGAUAGGCCGCCCGUGGACGUCCCGCAAGGGAUUCCAAGCGCAGCGGUCCUAAUCGCCCGUAUGGCUUGACUAC
rnacentral:rRNA from 1 species